ACAAUGAACGGUUGGCCGGUCUAUCCACAGGGCCCCGCCGGAACUAAUGUCUCCGCCUGGGAGUGUCUGUCUGCUGCCAACUUCGCCACGGACGGCACUCUCAUUAUGCGGAUGCAGACCCCUGUUAAACUUAUAUCGACGAACUAUUACGCAUAUAUGUGUAUAACAUUAUCACAAGUGACGACCUUCUCCUAUCAGUUCUACAUACGCAACGAUCCUAAUCCUAAUCUCGGGUUUGAGAGAUUGUAUCUGUCAAUCGCGAAAAAUGAAAAAGAUCCAAGCAACAUCUGCAACAUCACGCACGGGGCCUCCGGGGGAGAGUAU